rnacentral:rRNA from 2 species
UUCCGGUUGAUCCUGCCGGACCUGACUGCUAUCGGAUUGAUACUAAGCCAUGCGAGUCAUUGUAGCAAUACAAGGCAUACGGCUCAGUAACGCGUAGUCAACCUACCCUAUGGACGGAAAUAACCUCGGGAAACUGAGAAUAAUAUCCGAUAGAACAUUAUGCCUGGAAUGGUUUAUGUUCCAAAUGAUUUAUCGCCGUAGGAUGGGACUGCGGCCUAUCAGUCUGUUGGUGAGGUAAUGGCCCACCAAGACUAUUACAGGUACGGGCUCUGAGAGGAGUAGCCCGGAGAUGGGUACUGAGACACGGACCCAGGCCCUAUGGGGCGCAGCAGGCGAGAAAACUUUGCAAUGUGCGAAAGCACGACAAGGUUAAUCCGAGUGAUUUCUGCUAAAGAAAUCUUUUGUUAGUCCUAGAAACACUAACGAAUAAGGGGUGGGCAAGUUCUGGUGUCAGCCGCCGCGGUAAAACCAGCACCUCAAGUGGUCAGGAUGAUUAUUGGGCCUAAAGCAUCCGUAGCCGGCUCUGUAGGUCCUCAAUUAAAUCUGUACGCUUAACGUACAGGCUGCCGGGAAUACUGCAUAGCUAGGGAGUGGGAGAGGUAGACGGUACUCGGUAGGAAGGGGUAAAAUCCUUUGAUCUAUUGAUGACCACCUGUGGCGAAGGCGGUCUACCAGAACACGUCCGACGGUGAGGGAUGAAAGCUGGGGGAGCAAACCGGAUUAGAUACCCGGGUAGUCCCAGCUGUAAACUAUGCAAACUCAGUGAUGCAUUGGCUUGUGGCCAAUGCAGUGCUGCAGGGAAGCCGUUAAGUUUGCCGCCUGAGAAGUACGUACGCAAGUAUGAAACUUAAAGGAAUUGGCGGGGGAGCACCACAA